UUAAUGAAGGAAGCAUCAGAAGUUCAUGUCCGAGUGCAUCCUCAACUUAUUGAUCUCUAUGGAGUGAACACUGAUGACCUGGAGAGUUCCCAAGUGACAUGCAACUGCAUAUAGAAGGGAGACACUGGAAAUUCUGUAAUAAAGAAUCCUGUUCUCACCCCUAUGUACAGCUCUCCAAGGUCUGGACUUGUACUGAUGCAAGAAGCUUGUACUGUAGCAGAAGCUUAAUAAGGAUGUUUGUUCUAUUUCUGGGUUUAAAUUCUUAUUAAAUUAUACAUCUUUAUCAGGUUCUGUUUAACUGUAUCAAAGCUUUUAGGCUUUAACAAGAAAAAAAUUGAUUAUAUCGGUCUCUUAGAAAUCUGGGGUUUGAGAAGGGUCCAUCAGAAUAGAAGAAAUUUUUUUUUCAUUAGUCUAGAUUUUUUAGAAUGAGAUACUUCUAAGUCUGCUGCUGCUAUCCGUGUUGUCAGGUAACUCAGUUCAACACAGGGAAGAACCACUGCUCUACUCACCAGCUUUAGCUGAAGAGUGGUGGCAAAAGAAAAAUAUAUGCAUUUAUUUUUUUAAUCAAGUACUUCUAUUUCUAGUUAUAGUUUUUAAUGUUGCCUUAAUCUAUUCACUCUCAAAAUGUUUCUAGUCAAAUAAUAUAAAAGAAUAUGCUGUUGUUAAAAUGUAUUUUAAAAACCACUGUGUAAAAUCAGUAUUUUCUCUGUCUUAGAACUGAAAUGUUAUUCAGCAUAGUUGCUGUUGCUGAGACUAAAGUUGUGAUAAAUAAAUUAGAGUUAAAUUUUUAUUA